CAGAGUUAUUGAGAGUAUUAGACAUUAUUUUCCAAACUUUGAUUAAAGAAGAAAAUAUGAUCAAUUUUUGAAACUCUUGUUUCUGAAUAUGAGUGAAUAUAGUAUUUCACUCAGAUUUUUAAAAAGUAAGUACAUAAUAGUUUUAUCAAGAAGCUUCUUCAGUCAGUGAGAGAAAUAGUCACCCAAUCAUGAGAAUGACAUUUAAAAACUAUGAUUGUCUUUCUUCUUCAUAUUUCAGUCUUUCUCUUCAAAGUACAGUCAUUAUUGAAAAUGUAAGUUUUAAAGCAGAAAGUCAGAGUAACAUUUCACUCUGCAAGUUUAUUUAUUAACUUAUUCAUUUUUAUCCAUAUAUCAAACCCUGAAUUAACUGUUGUGCUAAGAGAAAAUUUGCUAUGUAGGAUAAAUUAUUGCCAGUGUGUGCUCACUUUCCUUAUUCAUAAAUUCCACGAUGGUUCUAAGAGAACAAAGGAUGAUAUAGGUAACAGUAAAGAUGGCUUCUGAGUUUGAUUUUGCCUUUAUUUUUGCCCUAGGAAUAGUAAAAUACUUUACUCAAUUAAGCUAGAUGUCUUUAUGAAAUACAUGAUUUCUUAUACAACAGAGCCUCCCACAGUCACUAGUAUAUUGUAAAUAUUUUAGGAAACAAGUAAACCAUAAUGUAAAAUUACAUGACAUUUAGCUUAAGGUAAUUGGCAUCAAUGUUAAACUACUACUAUAAAAAAAGAAAAGAAAAAAAAAAAAGCAAGCAAGCAAGAAAUAAAAUUGAAAACUCCCAAAUUCUGUAAUACAAGAACUUUCUAGUGUGCAUCAAAUGAGAUUAAAUUUCUAACCAUUUGACCCUUUGUCCUCUUUUUUCCCCUUUCCUUACAGGAACACCAAGUGCAGUCAUAAACUGGGCCUGUUCAGUGCGCAGCUGGGUCAGUAGGGAGGAGGGAGCCCUAGUAAGAUCAAAGCCAAGUCCCAUCUGGGGAUUGCUGCUUAUGUGUCGGGUGCAGGCCUGUUUCAGGGAGGAGCAGGGCUGCACACUUGCUAUGAACAUGAAUAUUCUGUCCUACAGCUUCCUGAUACACUCUCAUUCCAUGUUGCUGACACAACACAAAAAUAAGGAAAAGGAAGAACAAUCCAUAUAAAGGAGAUGAGAGCUGGAAUACAAAUCACAACAAAAGACAGAAGUCUCUGAAAAUGUUGAAAGCAAGCAUAAACUUUCCUGAAAUUGAGCUUUAAACAUGGGGUGCUAAAAGAUUGUGAAAAAGUAGAGAGCUUUUAAAGUGCACAGUGCUUUCAUUAUAAAGUAUGGACUGAUUAAUUCAUCCUACUGCUUUUACUUCAUUCUCAUCUAUUUUGAUUGAUGGGGACACACGUCUAACCAGAGAAUGGAGAAAAGAGAACCAAAGUCAGAAUACAGGAACCUGAGGCCACAGGAAGCCCUCUCUGCCAGUCAGAAUUAAGAAAAAAGAAGGGUGUAAGGAGUGGGAGUGCCAAGAGCUGUGGCACGUUUAUUUAUCCACUUGGGAGGUGGAGUCUCAUGUGAACCUCUGCCUCAUAGUUUCUCCAUGUGCAAUGUCUCAGGCACCCAGUGUUCUUGAGAGCAGAGCUGCUUAGUGAAGUGACUUGCUUCAGGCGCUCUGUGUUCUUCAGGCUGGCCUUGGCUCUGCUGCAAGUGAUCACUCCGUCUUUAGUCACUACCCACAUCAUAGGAAUUUGGGUGAGGAUGUUUGGAUUUUAAUGUUUGAUUGCAAUAGCAUUCUAUCCUAGUCAGGACCCUUAUGUAUCCAUAUGCAGAAUGUAAGUGCUCUUUAGGUUUUAAAAUAUUUUCAUUAGAAUAUGUUUGCAAUAUAUUAUGAUUACAUUCGUCAUGGGGGUUAUCUGUAGAGAUAUCCUGACCAGGUCUUUUCUCAUAUAAGAGAAACCAUAUGAUAUUUAACUGCUCUUUAUAUUGAACUAUUAUUGAGAUUUGAUAUUGUUCCAAGAAAUAAUAUUAAAAGUUUAGUCACAUGCAAUAUAUAGUUAUGUAUCACAAAGUGAUAGGCAAAAUAAUGAUUUGUAAACAAAAAUUGUUGUAUUCAAUGUAUUCGGGAUGUUCAUUUUCUCAUAUUUACAAAAAGUUCAUAAAAAUAAUUUUUGAAAAGAAAAAUGUGUUUGUAUGAUAAUACAUAUGUAAUAGUUACAUGCUGCAAACAUGCACUAAUAAUUUUAUUGAAACUUUGUCUCUUCCUCGUCCAUACUUUGUUUACAUCUCUAUUAUCGUAGGCUCCAUCUUUUGUUUUGACUUAAGAAUUUGUACUAUUUAUGCCUUAUGUCCAAUAUUAAACUAUGUUUACACUCUCAAAGCAGGAGAUGAGGCUCUUUAAAAAUGUUACAGGCUUGUUCUGAGUUUCAUAAGCUGUUGUUCAUGGCUGAUUAAAAGAUCUAUUAUUCUCAUGUAAAUUGAUCAUCGGCAUUUAGAAACAGCUAUCCUGUUCUAUUCUAAUGUUCUUAUAACUGCUGUCUCUCCCAUUUAUCUUAAAUGUGUGCAGCAUUAGAUUGUCAAAAUACUCAUCAUUUAAUAUAGCACAUUCCUUUCCUCUAUGAAUGAAGCCCUAGCAAUUACAUUGCAAAAUAGCUGUCAAUUCAUGGCUUGUAUUUAGUGUUGAGAUUCUCCUUUCCAUUUGGAAAUUAGCUGCUCAUUUCUAGGAUGACUCCUAAGAUGCACUGUUUUAGGAAGUAAAGUUUCUUGGAAGUAAAUGCUCAGGUACAAUUUCAAGUGAAUUAUUAUAUGAAACAAAAGCUCUCAGCACAAUGGAAGAUGAAUAAAUAAAGUUCAGGAUAGAAGCAAUAAAUGGUAAGGUCUUAUCAUCUGUCAAUUAGUUUUAAUCCGAUCUCAUGUGAAAGCUGUAAAUCACAAAAGUCAAUGCUACAUUCCACCAAAUUACCUUUAGUCAUAUAAUAGACCAAAGUCUGUGCACAAAAUGAGAUUAGCCUGUAGCUCCUGAAGAUGAAACUGCUGAAGAUUUGGUUAAUGGCAAUUCUUUGGAGAAGAGAACAGAUGUGAGAUUUUAUCUUUCCUGUACUAGCCUGUAAUCUCUGAGAGCCCUGUGUACUAACUGGCUCAAGGCACCUUGGAUAAGACAUUCAACAUCACAUGAAUUUCAUCUCAUAUGAAGUUACAAGAUCAAUUACAAAAUUACAAGAUCAUUUUGUACAUGAUAUUACUAUUUAAGUCACUUAUGGCCAUGAAAUAAUUAGCAACUGUAUAUUCAUAUAUUGUGUAUAAUUAUGGUUUAGUUACAUUUCAAUAAACAAAAUAAGCUAUAGAAUGAAAAGGAGAGCAGGAGUGACAGAAUGACGCCACAAACCUGUAACUCCAGCAGGCUGGGUGAUGAAGCAAGAUUUGGGGGACAUUCUUGAUCUAAUUCACAGAACCAUCUCACAGUGAUGUAGGAACAUGAGUCAAGGAGUAGGGUGACUCUAAAACCCACUGCUUAGCAAAUCAAAUACAGGAAAUAGUGCCAAUUUGGAGUUUAUACUUUACAAUAACAUUUGUAAAAUGGACAUGUGACUAAUUAAUUUGUGUAGAAGUUUUAGGGCAGAAAAGAUCUGUGGUGAAAUCAACAAAAUUAUCAGCCUCAAGAAAAUUUAAAGUGGGGCUCUUUCCCUCCAGUGAAAUACACCUGGGUCAUGGGUCUAAGUGUCAGCAGGAAAUGGAAGUGGACAAAGUGCUUUUAUUUGAGAGGAGGAGAGGUUAAAUCAAGUCCUUUGACUAUGGAUCUGGGGAGGAGGACUAGGGUCAGGGGUGCCCCUCCCUGAGGACUCCCAUUGGUAGGCCUUUUAGAUUUCUGGGUCUGUGGCUGGAUCUGUUGCUGGGUCUAUCAGAGAAGAACAAGGCACUGUGGCUAGGUCUUGGGUGUAACAGGAGGCAAAACCACAGGUGCGGUUUAUGUGGAAGGAAAAUUUUGUUUCUUAGGGAAGAGGAUAGUGGCUUUAUACUUCACAGCAAGUGGCUACAUUCACACCACAUACUACACUGAGGACCAAACACGAGUUCUCAUUCAGCAAAAAAGGAAUAGCUAAAAAUCUGUGCUUCUGUAAGAAGUCAGUAAAUAAACAAAUAAUGCAGUCCAUGGUUAGCACACAGAGAACACACACUACAUCAUGAUUGAACGUACUGUAAAAAGAUGAACCAGUUCAUUGGGCAAGUUCCCCCUAAAGAGCAGACUUUGACAAGAGCAUGCUAGCUGCACAGAGCUGGGGGAGAUCAUUCUAGGCAGAGUGAGUAGAAAGGAUCUUGGCACAUUUUAAAAACCUGAAAAUAUUCUAAAGAUUAGUGGACCUGAAAGAUGACAAGGUGGUUAAAGGUGUAAGAGAUGGAAGAAAUGCGUGGAGGCUUUAUUUACUAGGCUGUGAAAUUUGUUUUUGAAUCAAAGUAUGGCUUUUGAAAGUGGCUGGGCAGGGGACAGAAAUGAUAUCUAAUUUGCUUUUUAAAAGUCAGUGUGGCUACUGUGUUGAUGACGGAUUGUACAGAGACCCUAGUGACAUCCGGAAGGUUAAUGGAGUUUGGAUGCAGGAUAUUUGAUACAGCUUUCUUUCUACUUGUGCUCAAAUUCCAGGAGGUGUAGUCUAAAACUACUACAGCCAUUUCAUUUGACUAGAACUAAGUUCAGUGGCCACAUGUCACUUUAAAGGCCAGAAAACGCAGUCUUUUAUUUGGGGAAUUUACACUAGGGGAAAGUAAAAAUGAGUAUGCAAUAAUCAGGAAAGGUGGAAUGAAAGGGAUAUAGAUUAAAAACAGUUCAGAAUUUGUCACAGAUGAUAGUUUAGAUUGGUAAAUAGAGUUUUCAGGAAGGACUGAUGAAGUUCAAGAAUAUAACAUCUGGAAAGCAGAAUGCAGCGCAACUUCAUAAACAGGUAACAAUGCAUUCUGCAUUCAUUUAAAUAAAGUAGCACUUUCACUCUUUAACCUGCAAGACCUAAUUUCAAUGUAAAUAUAAAUUAGAAUUUUCUAGAAUAUGUACAAUUUCCUUGUUGAGUGGGGCGUGCUCCUGUUGUAAUUUUACCAGCUAAAUGUGACAUAUUAACCUCAUGCUGUCUCAAUAUGUUUAUUAUUAAACAUUCUUGCAACCUUUUCUUUUUAUGGCCGCAUAUCUUUUCCAAACUCUGAAGUUAAAAGAUAAUAUAAAUAGUAUCAUUUGCCUUAAAUUUAAAAAUUUUUCUGUUUUGUACAAAUUCAAUUUAUAAGUGAUAAUCAGAUGAACUACAAAAUACAGAUUAUAAAACCUCUAAGAAGGUUUUGAGUUCAGCUGAUAUUCUUAAAUUUUUUAUUUAGCAGCACAAAGAGGCAUCUAAAUUGAUGCUGCAGGUAAACAUAAUGAGAGCAUAUAAAACCAUUAUUUUUUUGUAGCAAAUGUUAAAAUUACAAGAUACCUACCACAUAAUUAUGAUGCCACAGAGCAGAGGUGAUUAUAAAUUCAAAAGUGCUGUAUAUGUCACUUAACGCAGUACUUUUGCUUUCUAGUAUAAAAGAAAAAUAAUAAAAUGAAAUCAUGUUGGGACUGGGGAUUGACAAGUGCGAGGUUUUUAGUUUGAUACUCUGCCUGGUACACACAUACACACACAUACACAAGAAGAAAUCGUGCUGAAAUUUUUAAAUUAAACUCCACACUUCCACAAUCAAUAAUACUAGUUUAACUAGCAUUCAUGUUGUUGAUUAAAAGAUAAACAAUGAGCUGGGAUUUAGCUCAGCAGCACAAGCACCUGCCUGGCAAGUGCAAGGUUGUGAGUUCAAUCCCUGGUACAAAAACAAACAAACAAAAAAGAUAAACAAUGAAAAGUCAGUUCUUUCUAUGAGAUAAGGAAAAUUACUGAAUUUUAAUCUUAACAUAAUGCCAGAACCACUAACAAGUACUAUCCUAUUGGGACUAAUAUUUAACUGUUAGUUUUUUCAAAGAUUUUACUGAGUGAUAUAUAUACAAUAUUAUAUUAAAUUAUAUAUAUAUGUAUUUAUUCUUUUAAAAUUGUGUCUGUUCAUCUGCAUUACCAACUUGAAAAGAUGAAGAGACUUUGAAAGAAGUGAUUGGAUUGUGAGGAGACUAACCUCAUCAAUGGUUUAUCCACAUGCUAAAACUCUGUAAGGCUGAGUUCAAGAUGAUGCAUUAAGUGGUCUGGUGGAGCAAAAAUACUAUAAGACCAGCAUCCCUGCCUGCUACGAGAUCCUGAGAGGCUGCUGAGUCCCUGGGAGUGGAGUGAAGCUGCAGUGGAUACCACAGAAACUUGGAGAUGCCAGGAAAAUGGAACAUGGUCCAAAAAGUUAUGAGCAAGGAGCAGAACCAGCAGAAGAAUGAGGUCAUGGUGUAUUUGAAGAUCAAAUGUAUUUGAAAGAUAUAAGGUUAUUGAGAAAUUAAUCAUAGUUUAAAGAUGUGUAAUUAAGUGUCAAAUUGAUAAAGUGAUAGUCUUCAAUCAGUUGAGCUUCACUGUAGUCUUGACUGGACUGAGAGACCCCUGGAGAGGUGUUAGAUUGUGAGGGCAGUAACUUCAUUAAAACUGAGUUUGUAUUUGAAUGGGCUUUUAGGACUUGGGGUAUAGUUUAAGAAAAUGGGUCAAGAGAGCAUAACCUUGCGGACUAUAUUAGUCACUGAAACUUUUUUCUUUGGCUCUUUGUAAUCUGCUCUGCUUUCCAAAUGCCAUGAGUGUAGCAGCUUUCCUCUGUGAUGCUUUUCCACCAGGGGGACUGAAAUCUCUGAAAGUAUGGGCCAAAAUGAAGCUCUGUGAAUUUAGAUUGUAAAUGUGAGAAAUUUUUGCCCCCGAACAGAAAAGCGACAAAUGUGAUUCUCAAACAAUCAUAAAAUUCAGAUAUCUAUCUACCUAAUAUAUUGUAUGCUCUAAAUACAUUAAACACUAACAAUCAGUAAACUGAACAUUUUCAGUAAGAAUAUAUAUAUGUAUAUAUAUAUAUAUAUAUAUAUAUAUAUACAUAUAUAUAUAUAUUCAUCUAUAUCAUAUAUAAUGUAUAUUUAUUUUUAUUCUUAACAACCUAGACCGUGCAAGUGUCAUAAAGACAUCUACAAAAAUAUGUUUAAUAUUUGGAAGCCUCUUGAUAAGAGUUUUAGUUUUCAAGUUAUAAAACUUUUUUCAUACUUGAAUUCACAAAACAAUUAUAUAAUGCAGAAACGAAUGCAGAAUCAUUAUAUGUAUUUUAAUAUGAGUAAAUGGCGAGUGAGAAAUAAGUGACAUACCCAAAUUCACAUAAAAGCUAAUGAAUAUUCUUAGACUAGGUCCUCUAAUUCAAUUUCAGUAUUUAGUUGUUCAAAUCUGGAAUGUUCCCUGAACGUCCACAUGUUAAAGGUGAUUCCUGAGACUGGGGGGCUGUAGAACAAGAGUUGGGGCUUGGUGAGUGCUGUGCAGUCAUCAUGAACACAUGCUCUGAGGAAUUAUGACUCAGGCUGUCUCUCUGUGCUCACGAUGCGAGCAGGGUUACUUCACCACAAACUUCAUGCAGUCUUGUGCUGCCCCGUCCUCAUCAGAGGACUGAAACUAUUAUGUCUUUCUCAUCUAGACUGCAAUCUCUAAAACUGUCGGCAAAAUUAAACCUUUUCUUUUCACGAACUGACAAUCAUACCUUAAUUGACUAAUACAUUUAUUUCACCGCCCCUCAUCUCUGAACUAUAGUGGAGAUUUAUGCAUUCCAGUUAAUACCUCCAUGAGAUACUCUUAGAAACUGGUUCACAUUUAUUUACUAUUCUUACCAUAUUGAAUUUUUGUUAGAAACAUGUUUUUCUUACUUUCAUGCCAUUCUGUUGCUUAAAAUGAAACAUUCAAGCAGACAUGGAAGCCAAUCUGAGAAAAAAACUGUCAAUUUGCCUGUUUAUUAAAGUGUGAUAUAUUUUUAAAAACAAUAAAAUAUAUAUCUUAAAUAAAAAUUAUCAAUCAAAUAAGUGUUUCCUAGAUGUGAAUGCAUGGGCUAGUAACUAAAGCAAUGAUUUCCUUUAUUUUUUAGCCUUGAUUAGUAACAGUUCUUAAAUCAACUCCCACAAUUACUAUUAUACUCAUAUUGUAUUGUGAUAAUAUACUAUGUGUUAUAAUAUCUAUUAAGUAUAAUAAUAUAUGUUAACCAUACUGAUAUAAAAAUCUCAUAUUUUUAAACCAUUUAGAAAUUUUGAAUUAUUCACAUUUUACUUUAAAAUAAAAGUUAAGUUAUGCAAACAUUGGAAGUACUACUGAGAACUUUGAAUAUAAGCGUUUUACUAUUUAGCCACAAAGAAAGAUAAAUUUGAGUUAUUUUUAGGAAAAUGAUUGCAUUCUGAGAACAAAAUGUUAAAUGACAUUAAACAAAUGUACCAGCUGAAUACCACAUGGCUUUUCUUAUAUGAGAGAGUUAGGAAAAGUAUAUAAAGCAAAAUAAAUGAUAGGUAAUAAGAAUUAGGAGGAUAGAUCUUUCUCAGUAGAGAAGGGGAUUGUCAGGUGGAAGGGAAGGAGCACUGUAAAAGGAAUUAAAGUGUGUUAUGUACUUGUAAUAAUUAUCCACAAGACAUAUAAAUAGUAUAUGUACUAUAUGCAUAUACAAAGUAGGAUAAAAGUAAAUAUAAUUUUGGAAUGUCAUUAGUAAAUAUUAACAGAGAGCUGUAUGAUGAUCAGUAUUUGACAUUUUCAUGUGGUAGAUUUCAAAGCUUGAAACUACAAAAUUUAGCUCCACCCCAAAAUACUGUUUAUCUUGGAGUCUUGCAAACUUUGUCCCUGUGAAAAGAGCAAACUUUGCAGCAGCCCUUUGAAUUCUAUUUCUUUGCUGUAAUCUGCAAGUGACAGAGUCACAGCCACUGCUCGUGGGUAGCCUAGCAGCAAAUGGGAAAAUAAACGGGUUAAAAUAAAUUAAGAAAAUUGAUUUACCUUUAAAACAUGUUUUGAUGUAAUUACUGUUAACUUUAUCACUGAGUACUAAGUACUUAUAUUUUGCAAUGUUGUUAAAAAGUAAACACAAAAUAUUCACUCUAAAAAUGUUGCUAUAGAGUGAGGGCGAAUACCGGCAAGGCCCAGGGCGCGGGGAAGAGUGCUCCCCUCACCAAGCUGGCCAGGCUUUCUGUUCACUCAGAACCAGGGAAGGGCGCCCCUCAACUCUGGAGGCGCAGGCGCGUUUUUAACCAGCAAGAAAAAGUCACCGGGGACUGGCAUGUCUGGAGCAGAGCGGGGUUUGGGCCCCUCGGCGCUGCCCUGUCCUCAGAGUGACCGUUUCCAGGUUGCAGUUGGAAGACUCCGUCCCGCAGCCCCGCGUGCCCAGGCGGUGCCAGGCGUGCAGGGCACCGGAACCCUGUGCCGAGGCAUGUGGCCAACAGUUCAUGGAUAAUCCAGAGGAAGUCUGCAGUGGAGGCCCCCGGGGAUAGUGAACAGUCUGCCAGUAACAGGCAUGAGCCGGGAAACUCUAAAUAAUGUGGAGGAAUUCUGGGCUGGAGUGAGUGUCCACCAUCCUGAGCCCCAGAGUUUGGGGUCAUCGCUCCCGCUGCCUGUCAAGGAGCUAGGAGGCCUCCAGCACAUACUACCAGCUCCUCAGGUCUCCAGCUGCCUGCCCCAACCUCAGUGACCCUCUCUCAAUCCGAGGAACUGGGCUGUCAGAGGCCCAGGAUUUUAUGAAUAUUUCUGAUCAACUUCAUAAGCUACUGAUACAUUUAAUGUUCAUUUUUCUAGUAUUACAAAUAAGUUUAUGCAAUAAGAAAUAAUUUAUAACAUUAUCUGAUCACAAAUAAUAGAAGUAUUCCUUUAAAACUCAGUAAGCAUUUCUAUGUGCAUCUGAAAAGAAUAUGUACAGAAGCAGAUUUAUUUGCAAUUUUGUGAAGUCUUCCUCUGAUCUUUAUACUAUUUAUUCUUGAAUCUUAUACUACCCACAUGUAGUGAUUUAAGAGUACAUUUUCCCUGUAAAUACAUUAAUAUUUUUCAUCAUUUAAAUAAUAUUUGAGUAAAAAUUGAUGCUUUAAAAAUAGCUUUCAUACUUUUUAUUUCAUUUGCGAAAGUCAGACAAGAAGCAUAUAACACAGAAUUAGGAUACAGAACUUUUUAUAUCAAUUUAAAAUUUAUCCAUUCCAAAAUAACCCAAGAUGGACUGCUCAUAAUAAGUAUUGCUCAAUUGGUUUUCAAAGUAAUUAUUCAAGUUUUUCAAAUGUAAACUGUCAUAGUUUUAAAAACUGGUCCAUUUUACAAUCACAGUAUUGGAAUGAUUUUGAUACCUGUCUAGGCAGUGUAAAAUUAUUCAUGUAUGUGAUUGGUUUCAUAAAUUGUGAUUGAUAAUUUAAAAGAUAUGAAGAGGAAUUUUCAUCCUGUGUUAUCUACAAUUUGGUUUAUUCAUAGAACAAAUUUCAGGUCAUAGAUUUUAAAACAUGUGAAGUUUUUACCACUCAGAAAAUAGUGUAUUUACUUUUGGCUUCCUAAUGCUGCUUAUAAAACUAGAUACAAUUAAUUGUGUACUCUGCCACAUGUAGGUUUCAAGAUAGCCAUGAACACUGGAGAAGGCAACAGGGUAUCCAUAAAACAUGUAACAGUACAGAUUUGGAGGAACACUUGACACAAGUUGUUGGAGGGGGGAGGUAUCUGGCCACUUACCUCAUCUUAGUUCCAAAGUAGAGGAGAAAAGAUAAGUCCUUCUCAUUUUAGAAACACCAUAUUCUAACCAUCUCCAGGAAUGAAAUGUGUGCCAAUAGCCUGGAAUAUGUUCAAAAUUAUUUAAAAGAUACUUUUGCAAAGUCAGCACCGAGAGAACUUUUACGAUAACCAAGCAAGACAAAUAUCACCUGAAAAUUCACGGCUAUUGUUUUACUUAUGUGACCUUAGUCUUAGCCAGCUUUGGUGCUACAGGUCUAUAAUUUCAGCUAUUGAGAGGGUAAAGAGUCAGGAGGAUCACCAUCCCAGGCCACUAAGUAAGAUCUUUUCUAAAAAUUAAAUUUGUAUAAGAAUUUUUUUUGGUCUUUUUCGUUUUUAUCGGUACCAGGAAUCAAACCUGCCUGCUUGCAAGGCAGGUGCUUAUGCCGCUGAGCUAAAUUCCCAGCCCCUAAAAAUUAAAUUUGAAAAUUGCCUGGAGAUAUAGUUCAGUGAUUCUUGAGUUCAAUGUCCAAUACCACAAAAUAAACAAAACAAAACAUACAAUAUUUUAAAUCCUUAAAGUUUAGGAAAAUAACUCUCCUGAAGUCUGAGGAGAUAUUGGACGAACCUAUGAGAGAAGUGGUCAAGAAUCAAAAAGAGAACAAGGCCCCACAGGUGACAUAUCAGAGCUCAUGUUCAUGAACCUCAUCAAGCAGCCAUAAAAGUCUAUCUGGAGACCUGAGAAAGCACUACUCAGGUUAUUAACCAGAAGAAAGGAAGAAAAGGAAAGGUACUAAACUGUGAUGACAUUAUCACGGAUCCUUUUCCUCCUUAGGAAAGCCUUAAACUAAAAGCAAAGCAAAAAUAUUUUAAGGAAAUAAAAUAUUGUACAAAUAUCUCCCAUUGAUAUAGACAGAAAUUAAAAAAUAUUGCUUUACAAAAUUUAGGAUUUAUAAGAGAGUAUCAUCAUGAUGUGAGUGAAGCAAGGCUAUUCCAACAAUGGGAAAUAAAUUAUUUACCGAUUAAAAGACUAAAGAUGGUUAAUGGCAAAUUUCUCAUAAAUGUGGGACAAAGAGCAAAUGAUUAAAAAGAAUUAUAAGUAGGAAUUAUUUUUUCAAAUACCUAUUACAAUUAUGUUUUAAUAUUAAUAUUCAAAAUGACAAUGAAUGAACUAGUGAGGCCAAUAAGUAAAUGAAAAAAACAAAACAAAAUAGGGUUGAACAUGUCAAACUCCAACCUGUAUAUGUGAAUGUGUGUAGUUAUAGUAUCAAUUGUGUCUCAAUAAAAUGACCAAAUAAUUAAGGGAAUAAUCAGCAAAAAAUAAAUGAACUAGAAUUAAAAAGCAGAAAAUUGAUUAUGUACACCUACUUGACAGUUGUACAUGGUACUAUUUUAAUGUAAAAUAUAUCAAUAAAUAGAAAAUGAGAAAAGAUGUCACUCUUUGCAAAUGAGAUGAUUAUCCAAAUAAAAUAGCAAUAAAAAUCCAAAACAUGUUUACAAUCCAGUGAUAAGCUGAAAGAAACAAAAUCAGUAUAUAAAUUAUAUAUGUGCAAUAUCCAUUAGCACAGGAACACCAGUGGAAUUCUUGCACAUAAAUUUAAGAAUAUGUCUGUGAGAGACUUGUGUUGAAAAUAAUAAAACUUCCUCCUCCGUAGUCCUCCUGGUGUUUGUUAUCCCUGUGUUCUCUGGACUUCCUCUUUUGACAUUCCAGCAUACUAAACAUUUUUCACACUUACAGAUAAGAAAAUUAAAUUGGUUUUCAUUGUACUUUCAUCCAAAUGGUCCCUGCUGUCCUUCUUAUUCUUUAAUGAUCAUGCUGUUGGACGGUGAAUCAGCUGUGUAUUGAAGUUAUAAAUGUGACAUAAGGGGCUUUUAUGAAAGUCAUUUUGCACAUCUACAUCUUCUUCCCUACAUUUUGUUCUGGCUUCUACUCAAAAACCUAAUGGGCUAGGAAGGCAUUAAGGACCCAAGAAAGAUUUGAAAGCUUUAUUGAAUGACUAUUUUUUAAGCCAUGUAAGGAAACAAUAACUGUCACAAAAGUCUUCAAAAUCUGAGGUAUGAAAAAAAGUGGGGUUAUUGACCACAAAAAAAAAAAAAAGUGCAAAACAAGACAAGAAAAUCUUGCACAGAAAGAGCCUGAGAACAUUCCACAAAUCUGCUGCUGCUCCAGGGGAGCAGGAGAAAUGAAGAUCGAUGGUUUGGCUAUGAAAUCCUUAGGAAAUCUGAGGAUGAAAUGAGAAGCAAUACACACAUAAGGCUGAAGACUGGAGCCCAUGGUAGGGCCACACAUGAAGCAAAAUCAUGCUCAAAGGACCGAAACAAAAACAGCAAAUGGCAUCUUUCAGCUGACAACCUACACUCAAAGAUGGUUGUUACCCUGCAUUCAUUAGAUGACCUCACUAUGUCAGACUCUGCAAUGAGUCAUUGAAAAGGCUUAAUUCAUGUUUUAUGAAACAAAAGCUGGUCGAAACCGUAGAAGACAGGAUUUUCUUGGUGUUGAUGAUUAGUUUUUUUCUCCAAAUGUGAUGGGGAUUUCUUUGUGAAUUAAGCUUAAAUAUCAAAAUUGAUAAUGCAUUUUUUCUGUAUAUUACUUUUCAGGCUUGUGAAAAGUAAUAAGUGUUUUCAUAGUUGUACCUUUUUCAAAUAACCACAAGUAAGAAAUUACAAAUAUUUUAAAAGACUUACCAAUGUAGAAGGUCUUUGAGUUUGAUCCCCAUACUGAAAAAAAGAAAAAGUAGAGGGUCGUAUAAGAGAAUGUAUAACACUGUGAUAGAAAUGCCCAUUGAAAUUAAAGAGGGAAAUAUAGAAAAUCAGAGUGCCUUUGGGGAUUAAAUUGUAUAUUAGUGAAUCAAGAGAAUUUCUAUGAAUCAAGUAAUUAAACAAAGGCUUUAAAUUCUAGUAACUCACAAUUCAAUGACUCAAUGUGGAAUCACCCAGAACUUACAUUUUUUUAAAAAGAUAUGUUUGCAAUUUCUUCAGGAAUCUGAAAGCUGGUCUUUUCAGGCUGAUUUAAAAAUAAUCAAAGCUGAAAGAUGUGUGUCUAUUUAAUUAUUUCAGGAGGAACUAUUCCCGGGGCUUAGGAGGGUGUUCCCGAUCCAUCUUUUUGCCUAGUAAUGUUGGAGGGGUCUUCUUGGGAAGCUCCUGGACAUUCUCCAUGAGUCCAGCCCCAACGCACUGCACCACCUGUGCCGUUGAUGUAUUUAGAGGAGUGAAAUGAGGAUUUCAUCUACCAGACAUCAUCCACACAUCUCCCAGAAGGCAAUAAGUGGGAAAAAAGGGCACACUAAUGCUUUGUCUAUGACUUCCAUUCUACCAUGAGAUUAAAAUGUCACCACCAACUAAAAAAAGAAUGAGGAGAAGCCAGUAGGAGCCAAUACUUACAAUAAUUUGAACCAGCUUGAACUGUUGCCCCCCAGUCAGGCCACCUGCCUUGGAACCAGCUGAUUAUGGACUGAAACAAACUACACAGUCUAAAAACGAAUAAUAAAUCUGAGUUUGCAUAAGACUUCAACAAUGCUACUCACAAGAAUGAUGUCUUGAACAGAGAUUUGGACUAGACACAGAGAAAAGGCAGCAAGAAUGUAGACUUGUUGAAAACAGAAAGCAGAAAACAAAAUUCAAUUUAUAAGAGUACACUGGUGAAGAAGGCUCACAGUGGCCCAAAGGAUAAAGAGAAAGGCUCAAUUAUUAUCAAAAUGCUUUGGAAAACUCCUAUCCCAUGUAAAUAAGAAAUUGGGACAAUUGCCCUAUAAAAACUCUCUAGACCUCAUUCUCCCAAAGUUGUUAUACAGAUUUAAUCCAAUGCCAAUCAUAAUACCACUUGCAUACCUUACAGAUCUAGAGAAAUCAUCCCUAAAAUUUAUCUGGAACCUGAAGAGAUCUAGAAUAGCAAAGGCAGUUCUGAGUAACAAAGGUAAGGCAGAAUUGAUCACAAUCUCCCACUUGAAUGUAUAUUAUAAAGCUACUGUGAUAAAAUCAGCAUUGUACUUGAAUAAAAACAGACCUGGAGAUCAAUGAAAUAGAUUCAAAGAUAUAGCCACAACUAGCAAAACAUUCAACCACCUCAUCUUUGACAAAGGGGCCAAACAUGUACACUGAAAGACAGACAGUCUCUUUAAUAAGUGGUGCUAGAAAAACUGACUCUCUGUAUGCCAAAAACUAAAACCAGAUCCAUGUCUAUCACCAUGCACUAAACGAAAGUCAAAAGAAAUCAAAGAUCUAAAUAUUGGAACAGAAACACUAAAUCAUUUUGAAGACACAGUGGGUAGAAAUCUGUAUGACAUAGGAGUAUGCAAAGAGUUCAUGAACAAAAAUCAAACUGCAUGAGAAGUACUUGCAGGAAUCAACAACUGAGAUUUCACCUAAUUAAAAAGUUUUUGCAUGUCAAAGAAAAUCUCCAACAGAAUGAAAGGAAAACCCUACAAAUUGGGAAAAUAUCUUAGCCAACUGCACCUCAGACAAAGGAAUACUAUCUAGAAUAUAUAAAGAAUUUAAAAAAUCAGGCCCCUCACAUUCGAAGACCCCAACCCAAAAAUGGGUAUUUGAGAUGACUAUACACAUCUCAGCUGAAAAAAUACAAAUGGCAAGUAAAUACAUGAAAAAAAGUUCAACAUCAAUGUCAUUCAGGAAAUGCAAAUGAGAACAACACUGAGAUUCCAUCUCACCCCAGAAAGAAUGGCCAAGAUCAAGAAACCAACCAAUUACAAAUGUGGGAGGCACUGUGAGGAAAAAGGAACCCUUCUCCACUGUUAGUGGGAGUGUAAGCUGGUUUAAUCAUUGUGGAAAUCAGUGGAGAGACUCCUUAUGAAGCUAGAAUUGGAGAUUUCAUUUGAGCCAGCUAUCCUGCUUCUGGGCAUUUUCCCAGAAGAACUGGAAACAUCAUACCACAGUGAUAUAUGUCCACCUAUGUUUUUAGCAGCACAAUUUGUAAUAGCCAAAUCUUGGAAACAACCUAAGUGGCCAUCAAGCAAGGAAUGAAUAAAAAAGACGUGUAUUUUUAUACAAUGGAAUACUCUUUAGCUAUGAAAAAUCACAUUGAGACUUUUAUAAGUAAGACGAUGUAAUGAGACCUUACUAAUAAAUAAAAUACAUCAAACUCACAUGUGUAAAUAUUGUCUCUCUGGUGUAAGAAACUGAAAAUGUAUAUAUGAUCCAAAACUGUGUAAGGUCAGGAACUAACUGCUCAAAGAGGAAAAGUAACUAGGAUAGGGGAAAGGAGGAAAAAAAUAAAGUAAAAUGAAAAACAAAACAGAAAUUCAUUCAUAUAUGCAUAUAUAUGUAUAUAUGUAUAUAUGCAUAUAUGUAUGUAUGCAUAUAUACAUAUAUAUACAUAACAUAACUAAAAUGAAUAUACUAUUAAUAGUAUUGGUUAUUGGAAAAGAACAGUUAAUACUUAUACGAUUAGAUCAUUUUUACAUGUCUAUAACUGUUAAUCUAAGCCACCCUUUGAAGGUAACAAUAUGCAAUAUUACAACCUUUGUCAAAUUCUUAUCAUCCUGUUUUGGAAACCUAUACUGUUAUUGUAUUGAGUUUGUUAUUGUUUGCCUUUUUGCUUUUUUUCUUUUCUGUGACUUUUUUCCCUCAAAAAAACUCUCUUGGCCUCUCACCACAUGCAAAUUGUCCUAUCAAAAAGUUAUCUUGCCCUUUUUCCAAAUAUAAAUGAAUGAGCAAGAACAACAUCAUUUGAUUAGUAUGACCAUUUGUAAAUGAAGAUUUGAGACGAUCACUUGCUAAUUGCUCCCCUGAACAGUGCUCCAGAUGCAUUAAGCUUAGAGGCAUUUUAUUUUGUUUUAUUUUUGGUACCAGGAACCGAUCAGGACCUUGCAUUUGGCAGGCAGACCCUGUAUAGAUGAGAUGUAUCCCUGGCCUCUUGGAGUCAUUUUGGGUGCAGUGUUUUGCACACAUCUUCUUUUUAAAAGAAACAUCACAUUUCCUAAUGAUAACUGCACUUUUCCAUGAGAUGUGGCACACACCACAGAGUUGGUUGUCCAGUUUAAUGCAAACUUAAUCUCCUGCCGCAAUUUGAAUCUAAAAUGCCUCUUAAAGAUUAAGUUUUUUCAAAGUUUAAUCCCUAAUUAGGAGUGUUCAAAGCCAAUGUAUAUAUGGAUCAUAAACGCUCCAAUUUCAUCAAGUAGAUUAAUCCAUUGAGGAGUUAAUUAGCUGAGUGAUCUUAUUAGGAAUUAUAGUAAUUAAUAAUUAGUUAAAGCAGUGACUGGGGUCACUGGCUUUGAAGGGUGUAUUUGGUCUCUACCUCAUUCCUGUCUGGAUCUUGCUGUCUCUUCUUCCUGGCUGUCAUAAGAGAAGCAGGUUUCCUCUACCAUGACCCUGCCACGAUAUUCCUGCAAAUGUCCUAAUGCAAUGGAACCAUCUGACUGAAACCUCUGCCAUGAGACAAAAAUGUCUUUCCAUUUCAACUAAUUUUUUUUAGUAUUUGGGCAAGGCAACAAAAUCUAACACAACCCACCUUCAGAAAACACAGAUAAUCACUGAACCUGUGAUAUAAUGAUUUGAAUAAGAAUUAAGAAAUCUAAAGGAAGUAAUAUAUGCAUAAUAUUUUUAUAGUUUCUCAUGACUAAUAAAAAAAAAAACACUAGCAAUAAAAGUUUUCUGAUGGUCCUGUA